rnacentral:rRNA from 1 species
AUCUGUGGCCAUGCCACCCUGAACAAGCCCAAUCCCGUCUGAUCUUGGAAGCUAAGCAGGGUCAGGUUUGGUUAAUACUUGGAUGGGAGACCACCUAGGAAGACCAGGUGCUACAGGUG